GCCUGGGUGGCUCAGUGGUUGAGCAUCUGCCUUUGGCUCAGGUCAUGAUCCCCAGGUA
rfam:Canis lupus familiaris chromosome 34, whole genome shotgun sequence.